rnacentral:rRNA from 1 species
CAGCCGCCGCGGUAAUACGUAGGGUGCGAGCGUUAAUCGGAAUUACUGGACGUAAAGCGUGCGCAGGCGGUUUUGUAAGACAGGCGUGAAAUCCCCGGGCUCAACCUGGGAAUGGCGCUUGUGACUGCAAAGCUAGAGUGCGGCAGAGGGGGAUGGAAUUCCGCGUGUAGCAGUGAAAUGCGUAGAUAUGCGGAGGAACACCGAUGGCGAAGGCAAUCCCCUGGGCCUGCACUGACGCUCAUGCACGAAAGCGUGGGGAGCGAACAGGAUUAGAUACCCGAGUAGUCCCUGUCUCUUAUAC